UACGUAGGGGGCGAGCGUUGUCCGGAAUUACUGGGCGUAAAGCGCGCGUAGGUGGCUUGUUAAGACCGAUGUGAAAUCUCCGCGCUUACCGUGGAGAGGUCGUUGGUGACUGGCAGGCUUGGGUUCGGCAGAGGUGAGUGGAAUUCCGGGUGGAGCGGUGAAAUGCGUAGAGAUCCGGAGGAACACCAGUGGCGAAGGCGGCUCACUGGGCCGACACCGACGCUGAGGCGCGAAAGCGUGGGGAGCGAACCGG
rnacentral:rRNA from 1 species